UGAGGAAUAUUGGUCAAUGGGCGGAAGCCUGAACCAGCCAUCCCGCGUGAAGGAAGAAGGUUCUAUGGAUUGUAAACUUCUUUUGUAAGGGAAUAAAAAGAGUUACGUGUAACUUAUUGUAUGUACUUUACGAAUAAGGAUCGGCUAACUCCGUGCCAGCAGCCGCGGUAAUACGGAGGAUCCAAGCGUUAUCCGGAUUUAUUGGGUUUAAAGGGUGCGUAGGCGGGCCCUUAAGUAAGUGGUGAAAGUUUGCAGCUUAACUGUAAAAUUGCCAUUGAAACUGAGGGUCUUGAGUGUAAAUAAGGUAGGCGGAAUGUGUUGUGUAGCGGUGAAAUGCUUAGAUAUAACACAGAACUCCAAUUGCGAAGGCAGCUUACUGGGAUACAACUGACGCUGAGGCACGAAAGCGUGGGGAUCAAACA
rnacentral:rRNA from 1 species